GCAAGUCGAGCGGAAACGACACUAACAAUCCUUCGGGUGCGUUAAUGGGCGUCUAGCUGCGGACGGGUGAGUAAUGCCUAGGAAAUUGCCUUGAUGUGGGGGAUAACCAUUGGAAACGAUGGCUAAUACCGCAUAAUGCCUACGGGCCAAAGAGGGUGAUCUUAGGACUUCUCGCGUCAAGAUAUGCCUAGGUGGGAUUAGCUAGUUGGUGAGGUAAUGGCGAACCAAGGCGACGAUCCCUAGCUGGUCUGAGAGGAUGAUC
rnacentral:rRNA from 1 species